rnacentral:rRNA from 1 species
GCUCAGGACGAACNCNGGCGGCGUGCUUAACACAUGCAAGUCGAGCGGUAAGGCCCUUUNGGGGGUACACGAGCGGCGAACGGGUGAGUAACACGUGGGUGACCUGCCCUCCACUCUGGGAUAAGCCUGGGAAACUGGGUCUAAUACCGGAUAGGACCNCUGGCUGCAUGGUUGGUGGUGGAAAGUUUUUUUCGGUGGGGGAUGGGCCCGCGGCCUAUCAGCUUGUUGGUGGGGUGAUGGCCUACCAAGGCGGUGACGGGUAGCCGGCCUGAGAGGGCGACCGGCCACACUGGGACUGAGACACGGCCCAGACUCCUACGGGAGGCAGCAGUGGGGAAUAUUGCGCAAUGGGCGGAAGCCUGACGCAGCGACGCCGCGUGGGGGAUGACGGCCUUCGGGUUGUAAACCUCUUUCGCCAGGGACGAAGAGUGAUUGACGGUACCUGGAGAAGAAGCACCGGCCAACUACGUGCCAGCAGCCGCGGUAACACGUAGGGUGCGAGCGUUGUCCGGAAUUAUUGGGCGUAAAGAGCUCGUAGGCGGUGUGUCGCGUCGGCCGUGAAAACUUGGGGCUUAACUCUGAGCGUGCGGUCGAUACGGGCAUCACUUGAGUUCGGCAGGGGAGACUGGAAUUCCUGGUGUAGCGGUGAAAUGCGCAGAUAUCAGGAGGAACACCGGUGGCGAAGGCGGGUCUCUGGGCCGAUACUGACGCUGAGGAGCGAAAGCGUGGGGAGCGAACAGGAUUAGAUACCCUGGUAGUCCACCGCCGUAAANCGUUGGGCGUCUAGGUGUGGGGACCAUUCCAACGGUUUCUGUGCCGCAGCUAACGCAUAAU